rnacentral:misc_RNA from 1 species
AACGCACAUUGCGCCCGCCAGUAUUCUAGCGGGCAUGCCUGUUCGAGCGUCAUUUCAACCACUCAGGCCCUGGUGCCUGGCGUCGGGGUAUUUCUGUAACAAGAAAUCCCCUAGAAUCAGUGGCGGACCCGCCGCGGCUCCGAGCGUAGUAGUAAAAUAUCUCGCUAUGGAGGCCCGUGGGGGGCUAACCGGCCGUAAAACCUCUUCUUUACUGAAGAACUUCUCAAGGUUGACCUCGGAUCAGGUAGGAAUACCCGCUGAACUUAA